UACGGAGGGUGCGAGCGUUGUCCGGAAUCACUGGGCGUAAAGGGUGCGUAGGCGGUCGGGUAAGUCUGACGUGAAAUCUCACAGCUUAACUGUGAAACUGCAUUGGAUACUAUCCGGCUCGAGGAAUGGAGGGGAGACUGGAAUACUUGGUGUAGCAGUGAAAUGCGUAGAUAUCAAGUGGAACACCAGUGGCGAAGGCGAGUCUCUGGACAUUUCCUGACGCUGAGGCACGAAAGCCAGGGGAGCAAACGGG
rnacentral:rRNA from 1 species